rnacentral:lncRNA from 1 species
AGCAGCAAGUCUUGUUUCUUGUCAUCAAAUAACUAUUGUACAAUUGAGCGCAAUACUGAGGUUUGGAUUCCAAAAGUGAAGACAUCAAGCUUGACACUGAACUUGUAAUAUAUCAGCCUCACUGUUAUUUUCCAUUAUGUAGAGCUAGCAUUCCUAGAACAUAAAGACCAUCAUUCCUUCCAUAGCUACUCAGAACUACAAAAACUCACACGCGGGGGGGGGGGGGGGGGGGGGGGUUUNNNNNNNNNNNNNNNUGGGGGGGGGGGGGGGGGGGGGGGGGGGGGGGGGCUAUUUGUAAUAAUAGUGAGGAGCUCUUAUGGUCUAAACCAUCCUAUGAAUUUUCAUGGGCAGUCUCUAAAGAGGACCAGGAAUUAAAGUUGUGAGGGUUAUUGAAACAAACAUCUUACUCACAGAAGAAUUAGCAAAGACAUCUCGCGACCAGUCGCUCUAACUCACUCACUACUUCCCCUCUCCCUCUACCGCUCCUCCACUCUCUCCUCAUCAGUGAGCUCAACCUCAUUGGUGGCAUCAUUUGGAGCAGAGAGGACACAUCACCGACAAUCUCAGCCUCACAUUGGCUUUGCAUGAAUGUGACGUUAUGAAUCUACAACACUUCAUGAAGUGUGUUGCUAGAACACUCAUCAUCUCGCCGGCUCAGGAAAGGCCAUGUAGUGCCUGCUUCCCCUGCCCUCCAUCCCUUUUACUAAUUUUCGACAUCGCCUCCCAUUCCCUGGUCAGAUCUAGAGGUGGAAACA